rnacentral:lncRNA from 1 species
CCACUACACUAAUGUAUCUUUUCUCUCCUCUCCUUAUCCUUCUCCUUUUCUAAUAUUCUUUCUAUCCCGCUCUAUAUUCUUUCUGUCCCACUCUAUAUUCUUUCUAUCUCACUCUAAUAUUGUUUCUCUCCAUCGCUACAUCCUUUCUGUCCCAUUCUAUAUUCUUUGUCACUCUAUAUUCUUUUUGUCUCGCUCUAAUAUUGUUUCUCUCUAUCUCUAUAUCCUUUGUGUCCCACUCUAUAUUCUUUGUCCCUCUAUAUUCUUUCUAUCUCACUCUAAUAUUGUUUCUCUCCAUCUCUAUAUCCUUUCUGUCCCACUCUAUAUUCUCUGUUCCUCUAUAUUCUUUUUGUCCCACUCAAUUUUGUUUCUCUCCACCUCUAUAUCCAUUCUGUCCCCUUCUAUAUUCUUUGUCCCUCUAUUUUCUUUCUAUCUCACUCUAAUAUUGUUUUUCUCCAUCUCUAUAUCCUUUCUGCCCCACUCUAUAUUCUUGGUCCCUCUAUUUUCUUUCUAUCUCCCUCUAUAUUGUUUCUCUCCCUUUCUAUAUCCUUUCUCUCUCUAUAUAUCCUUUCUCUAAAUUCAAUCUUUCUCGUUCUUAACAACCUAUUUAAGAAGUACCAAUUGUCAGAUACUGCUUGUGGAGGAAUGGAUAAUUUUUCGGAUCAACUAUGUUUUUUUUUGUCCAUCAAUAAUGUCAAUAUAAAGAUGUUGUCACUAAUUUUUUGAACAGAAAAUUGCACAAGAGAAUCUCAUUCCAUAUUAUUACAAAAUUGACAGGCUGGCAGACUUCUGUUACAUCAAGGUGACAGACUGGCAAACUUCUGUUACCUCAAGGUGACAGGUAGACUUCUGUUACUUCUUGGUGACAGGCUGGCAGACUUCUGUUACUUCUAGGUGACAGGCUGGCAGAUUUCUGUUACAUCAAGGUGACAGGCUGCCAGACUUCUGUUACUUCUUGGUGACAGGCCAGGAUUUCUGUUCAAUCAAGGUGACAGGCUGGCAGACUUCUGUUACUUCUAGGUGACAGGCUGGCAGACUUCUGUUACAUCAAGGUGACAGGCUGCCAGACUUCUGU